GUGGGGAAUCUUGCGCAAUGGGCGAAAGCCUGACGCAGCCAUGCCGCGUGAAUGAUGAAGGUCUUAGGAUUGUAAAAUUCUUUCACCGGGGACGAUAAUGACGGUACCCGGAGAAGAAGCCCCGGCUAACUUCGUGCCAGCAGCCGCGGUAAUACGAAGGGGGCUAGCGUUGCUCGGAAUUACUGGGCGUAAAGGGCGCGUAGGCGGACAGUUUAGUCAGAGGUGAAAGCCCAGGGCUCAACCUUGGAAUUGCCUUUGAUACUGGCUGUCUUGAGUACGGGAGAGGUGAGUGGAACUCCGAGUGUAGAGGUGAAAUUCGUAGAUAUUCGGAAGAACACCAGUGGCGAAGGCGACAUACUGGUCCAUUACUGACGCUGAGGCUCGAAAGCGUGGGGAGCAAACAGGAUUAGAAACCCUUGUAGUCC
rnacentral:rRNA from 1 species